rnacentral:lncRNA from 7 species
CUCAGGGCGUCCUGCGGGGUCCGCCUCCGUGUGCGGGGAGCGCGUCGUUCGUCCGAAGCCUGCCCGCUGGAGAGAGAGGAGCUGCCAGAACAGAAACAUGGAGGUGCUGAGCUCCAGUCAGCUGCUGUCACCGUUCCCAGCUUAAUUCACCACCAGUGAUCCCAUGGUUAACACAGUCCUUGGGGGUCUUUGUGCCCACAGCUCAGCCUUCCUUAGCGUUACAGAAGUAAGAACUUUCUGGACAUUAUGUAUUUGGAUUUUUCUUUAAAUACCUUGAGCUUAUCAAUCUGUGUGCAUGUGAAGUAGUCCAUAUUAGAUACACUUUGCUAGUAGCUAAACACUGCUAAGCUCAGAGGAAGCUACUUUUCUGAAUGCGUGUGUGCUCGUGCACUCCUGUCUUUAUUCCUCUCUUUUCUUUCCACAAGUAAUCCUAGUUGGAGUAGAUUUUAGUUAUUCCAUUAGCACAAGAAUAUCUAUCUGAACAAGGCCUCUUGGACAUGGGAGCUUUGACUCCCCUCUUCUGUGUACGUAAAGAGAGAUUGUUUUGACUUUCAAAGCAGUGUGAAACAGAAACAGAAAGCACUUUGUCCCAGCCAGCAAUAGUCAUUCCUUAUACACAGCUUUUUCAACAACACAUUUCAAAAUGCCUCCUCUUGUCUCAGGGCAAGCAGGAACUGACGCUGGGAACCAGUUAUCACAGCCCUUGGAACAAGCAUCCUGUUGAAGUACUGAUAUAGAGAAGUGAAGUUAGCAAGUUAAAGACUUGAGAGUAUUUUUGUUGGAGAAAGGAGUUGAUGAGCGAGUUCUAAUUGGGGAGUUUAUAAUAGAAUACAAUUAUAGAGUUGUGUUUUUUGUGAGUUCUGAGAAAACAAAGAUAUUUGAGAAGAGGACGCCCAACAACUGUAAAAUAAACAUGCUGAGAAGCAGAGAUUUGUAGGGACAGGCUGUUCAGCUACCCAAGGAAGGCUGCAGCGACCACAACAGCUUCACGUUCACUGAAAACUUGAUUCUAAUUUGCAGCAUGUGAUUUACUGUUACAGAUAGGCAAAGUUCCAAUGAUAAUAACUUAAAAUAAUCCUUUGAAAAGCAGCAGUGUAUUAAAAAGAUGACAAUAAAGAUGAGCCACGAGGCCAAAAAUGGAAGUUUUUAAUAAUUGCUGAGCUGAGGCAUUACCAGAUAUAGCAAACAGGUAGGCAGGCCCAGGGAGAACAGACUCAGCAGGAGCCACGACAAAGCAGUUGGAAAAUAGAUAUGUGGAUGUUCCAAGGCAGCCCACUGAGAGUACUUACGUCACUGGGAGGGUAUCUCUUGAAUAUUCAACACACGUAGCAGGAAUAUUAUGAUCUCUUAAGAACAUUCUAUGGUUCUGUAACCUCUGGGUUAUAAAUGUUCAGCACUACAUUUUCUAAGCAAACUUCUCAUGUCCUCAGUUCACUUUUGACUGAACUAGUUUUGCUUAGCUUGUGUGUGUGUAUAUAUAUGCGUGCGAGUAUAUAUGUACACGUGCGUAGAUAUAAAAAUAUUCAUAUACUUACUAAAAGAUUUGCAGCAAAGUUCACCAUCCAGACAUGAAACUAACACUGAGACCAGCACCCACGUGGGGAUGCCUGUAACACCGAGGAGCUGCACACAACUCUAAAUGGCACAGCUAUCACUACUGUGUUCUAGGGGUCUCAACCAAAAUGUUAUUUUCACAUUUGCAGGUAAAUUUCAACUCAGUUUCCAAGUUGAAGCUAUCCCCCCCCCCCCCAAAUGUAAUGGUAUUACCACACGAGUAACUAAAAAGGGAUAGCUGCAGAGCUGGGCAGAAAGCUAACGAAGCUCUCUGAAGAGAAGAUCAUUGUGAUAGCACAGUCUGCACGAGGUUUUCAAGACUUACUUGCAUGCUCAGCUUUAGACGUGUGGCUGAGCUCAGGUCAGUACAACUCCACAGCUGUGAUCAGAACUCUCUUUCAGGCCCACUGUGACAUACGCUUCCCACAUAAAGAAAAUAAUCCAGAAGUCAUUUUAAUAUAAAAUGUUUUUAUUGUUUUUGAAAACAUUUAAAAAACAAUUUUUGAGCACUUUC